UACAGAGGUGGCAAGCGUUGUUCGGAAUUACUGGGCGUAAAGGGCGCGUAGGUGGCCUUGUCAGUCAGACGUGAAAUCCCCAGGCUUAACUUGGGAACUGCGUCUGAUACUACAAGGCUUGAGUUCGGGAGAGGGAUGUGGAAUUCCAGGUGUAGCGGUGAAAUGCGUAGAUAUCUGGAGGAACACCGGUGGCGAAGGCGGCAUCCUGGACCGAAACUGACACUGAUGCGCGAAAGCCAGGGGAGCAAACGGGAUUAGAAACCCCGGUAGUCC
rnacentral:rRNA from 1 species